UGGGGAAUCUUGCACAAUGGGGGAAACCCUGAUGCAGCGACGCCGCGUGAACGAUGAAGCCCUUCGGGGUGUAAAGUUCUUUCGACAGGAACGAUAAUGACGGUACCUGGAGAAGAAGCUGCGGCUAACUACGUGCCAGCAGCCGCGGUAAUACGUAGGCAGCGAGCGUUGUUCGGAGUUACUGGGCGUAAAGAGUGCGUAGGCGGCGAGCCAAGUUUGGUGUGAAAUCUCCCGGCUUAACCGGGAGGGUGCGCCGAAAACUGGUUGGCUGGAGUAUAGGAGAGGAAAGCGGAAUUCCUGGUGUAGCGGUGAAAUGCGUAGAUAUCAGGAGGAACACCUGCGGUGUAGACAGCUUUCUGGACCAAAACUGACGCUGAGGCACGAAAGCGUGGGUAGCAAACA
rnacentral:rRNA from 1 species